CCAUGCAUUACUGGGCGGGUCUUCUUUGGCAAUGGCCUUGUUAAAAACCAACCACUGCCAAAGGAGACUUGCCCAGAGCGAUGCAGCU
rnacentral:pre_miRNA from 1 species